rnacentral:rRNA from 1 species
AGUGAACGCUGGCGGUAGGCCUAACACAUGCCAGUCGAACGGCAGCACAGUAAGAGCUUGCUCUUACGGGUGGCGAGUGGCGGUCGGGUGAGGAAUACAUCGGAAUCUACUUUUUCGUGGGGGAUAACGUAGGGAAACUUACGCUAAUACCGCAUACGACCUGCGGGUGAAAGCAGGGGAUCUUCGGACCUUGCGCGAUUGAAUGAGCCGAUGUCGGAUUAGCUAGUUGGCGGGGUAAAGGCCCACCAAGGCGACGAUCCGUAGCUGGUCUGAGAGGAUGAUCAGCCACACUGGAACUGAGGCACGGUCCAGACUCCUACGGGAGGCAGCAGUGGGGAAUAUUGGACAAUGGGCGCAAGCCUGAUCCAGCCAUACCGCGUGGGUGAAGAAGGCCUUCGGGUUGUAAAGCCCUUUUGUUGGGAAAGAAAAGCAGCAGGUUAAUACCCCGCUGUUCUGACGGUACCCAAAGAAUAAGCACCGGCUAACUUCGUG